CCUACGGGAGGCUGCAGUGGGGAAUAUUGGGCAAUGGAGGAAACUCUGACCCAGCAACGCCGCGUGCAUGAUGAAGGUCUUCGGAUUGUAAAGCUCUUUUCUAAGGGAAGAAGAAAGUGACGGUACCUUAGGAAUAAGCCUCUGCUAACUACGUGCCAGCAGCCGCGGUAAUACGUAGGAGGCGAGCGUUAUCCGGAAUGACUGGGCGUAAAGGGUGCGUAGGUGGUUUGGCAAGUUAGUAGCGUAACUCCAAGGCUCAACCUUGGAACUACUACUAAUACUGUUGGGCUUGAGUGCAGGAGGGGUAACCGGAAUGCAUAGUGUAGCGGUGGAAUGCGUAGAGAUUAGGAGGAACACCAGUGGCGAAGGCGGGUUGCUAGGCUGUAACUGACGCUGAGGCACGAAAGCGUGUGGAGCAAACAGGAUUAGAUACCCGGGUAGUC
rnacentral:rRNA from 1 species